CACGAAUUUUUAUUUCCUGUUUUGUGGCUGAAUGAGAGCGCUUUAAUUACGGAUAAGAAAGCAGAGUUUUUCCGAUCAAAAGUGACCGACAAGAUCAAGAUGCUGAACAUCAUCCAAAUAGUGCUCAUAACCUUUGGUUCUGUGAUGUUCCUGGGAUUCUUCAUUGCCUUUUGCGUAUGCAGAAAAAAGAGUUCCAAAUAAGUAAUAGAUAAAGCAGAAUUUGGAAUUCAGAUAAGUUAAUUCAGCUCUACCAGAUUCUGCGUGGCAUUCAACAUUAAAAAAAAUAGUGAGAAUCCAUU